rnacentral:lncRNA from 1 species
GCCCGGGGGGGCCAUCGGGCAGGGGACUGCCCUCCGGCCUGAGGACAGCUGACCUGUCCCUCGUCCGAGGUCGCGUAGAGAGGCUCUUCCACCGCGGGGAGCAGAGGCUAAGCCCUCGAUGGGCACUCUGGGCUCAGGUUGGCCACUAACUUGCUGUGAGACUUCCUGUAAAUCACUCCACCUCUCUGAUCCUUCGGGUCCUCAUUGUAGGGCCACACCCUGAUUCUUUUUUUUCUUUUUUUAAGAUUUUAUGUAUUUAUUCAUGAGAGACACAGAGAGAGAGAGAGAUAGAGAGAGAGAGAGAGAGAGAGAGAGAGAGAGAGGCAGAGACACAGGCAGAGGGAGAAGCAGGCUCCAUGCAGGGAGCCCAACACGGGACUCGAUCCUGGGACCCCAGGGUCAUGCCCCGGGCCCAAGGCAGAUGCUCAACCGCUGAGCCCCCCAGAUGCCCCACACCCCCUGAUUCUGAAUCUACUAUCGCUCGAGAGGGCGAACCGGGUGCCGCUCUCUUCUGCAGCGGGGGAGAGAGAUUGUCUUUUCCUGCCUGAAGGAGAAUUUGCUUAUAUUCGACUUUGCUCGCAGCAUCCUGGCCUGUCAGGGGUGGUAGUUUGGAGGUAUUAACGUGGAUGCGGAUGGUUCCAAUUUUGUGGGAUCCACAGCAAGACAGACAUUCUGUUAAUUUCACAUGGUGAAUUCUUGCAGCUUAAACCAUGAUGCAGAGUGAAAAAAAUGCUGUAGAUAAAUAUUGCCUGAACUCACCCAAACUUGUGAUAUCAUAAAAAACGAUUUCUUAAGUUGUUAAACCCUGAGCUCUCUGAUUCAUAGAUUCCCAAAGCCAACCCUUCCUUCUGUUUUCUCUCUGGUGCUCUGAGCUUUAUAGGAUAUAAUCCCCUAGAUGAGGACAAAACCAGAAUAGUUGGAGCUGGGGCAGGAAGGGCCCGCUGCCCUCGCCCGGGAGCCUAGCCUUGCGGGUGCCUGGACUUCGCGGCCCUGCAUCCCCCCUGCCGUCCCCACACUGCAAAGACCACAAGCUUCUGAGGGGAGGAACCAGCCAUUCGAAUUUUCUCAGGUUCCUCCUCCCCCUCCGCCACCGGGGCUUACGAAAUGCAUCUCGAGACUCCUGCAGAAACAGAAACACCAACCCUGAGGAAGAGGACAGUCAAUGUACUAGGAUCCUAGUGGGUCAUGAGGACACCAGGGAAAUCCGGACUUUGACAUUCAAAAUGUAUCUCCAGGGCCGCCUGGGGGGCUCAGUGGUUGAGCACCUGCCUUCAGCCCAGGGCGUGACCCCGGGGUCCCAGGAUCGAGUCCUGCAUUGGGCUCCCCGCAUGGAGCCUGCUUCUCCUCCCUCUGCCUCUGUCUCUGCCUCUCUCUGUGCAUCUUUCAUGAAUAAAUAAAUAAAAUCUUAAAAAAAAAAAACCCUGUAUCUCCAAACCAUUAUCCACUCCAGGACGAGGCAGAGGAAAACAAUCAGGGCAUAACAACCAAACCAUGAUGAUAAACGCACACGGUGAACCCCGGUCCUCUUGGCCGGGAUCUGGACUCGUUCCAUUUGGGUCGGAGGGAGUAAGUCCCAGGGUAGGUGCAUCUUACCUGGAAUGCCCCGAGCGGCCACAGGGCAGCCUGCCUCCUCCUGUGUGUUUUAUCCCCUCGGGGAUGCUUGCUU